UACGAAGGGGGCUAGCGUUGCUCGGAAUCACUGGGCGUAAAGCGCACGUAGGCGGCUUUUAAGUCAGGGGUGAAAUCCUGGAGCUCAAACUCCAGAACUGCCUUUGAUACUGAGAAGCUUGAGUCCGGGAGAGGUGAGUGGAACUGCGAGUGUAGAGGUGAAAUUCGUAGAUAUUCGCAAGAACACCAGUGGCGAAGGCGGACUCACUGGCCCGGUACUGACGCUGAGGUGCGAAAGCGA
rnacentral:rRNA from 1 species